GGGAGGCAGUACGCUCAUUAAAGCAGCCGCUCUACUCUUCCCUGGGAAGCCAUUCUGUGAGACGUUCUUACUUCACCGCGUGCAUUCCUCGUAUAGCAGCCUCUGGUGGUGCGUGUGUGUGGUACGAAAGGAGGAAGGCUGGAGAAGUAAUUAGUGAAGCAAGAUUGUGGUGAGACGUCAACGGAUCGCAGGUUAUUGAUGAACGGAACUAAAGCAACAACAACAACAGCAGCAGCAGCAGCAGCAUCCGUCAAAUCCCUGCACGUAUCCUUCAAGACCUUCAGGGGAGAUAACCACUCCAAUGACACUGGUAGUGCUAUCGCUACACCUUCAGAUAUGCGUACCUCGUCUCCAGAUGACACUACCUAUUGCAUACUCGCCUUUCCGAGCCUAACAGGGCGUGAAAGCUUCCGGCUACCACUGGAAGCACUAAUCGCCACAUUAUUUAAGAGACUCUUGCUAAGAAAAAAAGAAAAAAAAAAGAAAAAGAGAAAAAAACAGCGAAAAAAAAGAAAAGGAAGAAUGUUAAAUGAUUAAGUAUGAUAAAAUAAAAUAGUUAUAAAAUCAAAGUAAAGCUGUAACCAUUUGUAAUAACUAAUACUUCAAUAAAAAAAAAAAACAGAUAAAUAAAACAAAAGAAAAAGAAAAGGCCCACUGAAGGUUCCCGUUUCUAAAGAAGACAGCACGAGAGCAAAAACUGAAUUCCAUGGAGAAGUGUCAUGAGACCUUCCUCAGGAGUCCACGUGUGCCGUUCACCUUGGCCACCUGCCAAAGAGAAGCCUUUCUGACCUCCUUAUCUUUGCCGAUCAGUGAGCACUACAAGAUGAAAACACUUCUCAGUCUGUUUUUCAAGGACUUCACAAAGGCCUUGAUAGAUAAGGUGCCAGCCCUAGCUGUGACCUGACCCGGCCAGCAGCCACCUCAGUCUGUGUCUGCCCACUCUUGCUGCUGGACAUGCAGAGUCCAUGUCCUCCUGGCUACAGUGGCAGACAUGUGACAUGCGGGCAGCUUCACAUAUUAAUCAU